rnacentral:lncRNA from 1 species
GGAAGCCCUUCUGGGGUCUGAGAAUACGGAUCCAGGAAAACUACACUUCCCGGCAGACCUUGCAGCCUGACAGCAAUUUGUCCUAUCAGCAUUCAGUAGCGUCCCAGACUAGGCCGGAAGGACAUCCGGAAGCUCCCUUUCAACCAAUCACCUUCCCUUUCAUAACCCUUGUAGCCCGCCCUCAUCUGGAAUCCCAGAUUCUGGCUGAGCAGAGAAAACCAAGAUUCUUAACUGCUCCAGGACAACGAUCUGCUGGUUUUUUAUCCUGAAGAAAUUGGGUCUGCUACCAGCAGCCUGGGUCCUGGGACUGGGCCUGGGGCGAUGAGCCAUCUGGGUCAGAGGCCAGAGUUGCUUCGGCUGGGAUCAGCUGGGCCAGAACACACUGUGACCUGUCCAAUGAAUGGGCCCUUUGUGCUCCUCUGGGGAAGGGCAACGUCAUCAGCCUCCUAGAGUCAGAAAAUGAAGUCCGGGUCUUUGGGGCCCAGGACUCUGCCCCACAUCCCAGAAAAGAAGGUGCCUGCUCAGCCCAGACCAGAGAGAGAGAAAGCAGUGUGGUGUAGGGGAAUAAAGUCCAGAUUGGGAGUCUGAAGGCUUGGGUU